rnacentral:piRNA from 1 species
UUGAAUCCACACGUGUUUUCA